AUUCCCGGUGGAGUUUUGCCAGUGAUCUGUGAAGCAAUUGAUUUAACCUGCCAGUUUACUGAAUAGAUUCAGCAAAAAUGAACACUUCAGAAACUGAGCUCCAGUAUUGCUGGCUUUUCUUUUCUUUAUUUUUUACCCAGAUGAUUCAUUUCUUCUUGCACUGACAUCAAUUGGAAGGCAAUGGGGUACAUAUGGGGCUCAAGAGGAAACUCACGUUUUUCUGUUUAUAUCACAGAAACGAUCAGGAGUGUUCCUACUUUACAGGAGCAUGAUAGAUUCUUUUUAAAAUAUGCACCAGACAAAACGAAAAUAAAAAGGAAAAGGUGUUUGAUUUGGGCUUCACACGAGUGAUAGAAAAGAGGAUAACAACAAGUGAAAAUAUCUUGACUAAUGAACCCUGUUUUGGGGUCUCUUGUCACAUGAAAACGCUACUACGUUUCUCUGGCCCUUUCAAUUGCUCUUCUCUCAACCUUUUCAAUCAGUUCUGGUUUCAUGUGAGCAGAAAUCAGCUGACUCUCUCCAAGCUCAUAAUCAGAAGCAAGCUUUCUACAGACCAGGAUUCACCAACUCAAAGCAGCACCCGAUCUUGCUAGAACAACAGAUACAAAACCUAUAGACAGAUCUCCAUUGCUACAAUGAUCUCAACACCUUCUCCAUAACACACCUUUCAAGUUCCAUGGGCCCUACACAUGCCUAUCGCAACAUGUGGUGUACCUCAUGCACGAAAUAUCCCAACAACAACUACUAUGUGGGUGAAACCAAUCACUAUGCUCUCAAGUGAACUCACACACAUACAAAAAAAAAU
rnacentral:lncRNA from 1 species